rnacentral:rRNA from 1 species
GACGAACGCUGGCGGCGUGCUUAACACAUGCAAGUCGAACGGAAAGGCCCUGCGUUUGUGGGGGGCUCGAGUGGCGAACGGGUGAGUAACCCGUGAGUAACCUGCCCUUGACUUUGGGAUAACUUCAGGAAACUGGGGCUAAUACCGGAUAGGAGCUCCUGCUGCAUGGUGGGGGUUGGAAAGUUUCGGCGGUUGGGGAUGGACUCGCGGCUUAUCAGCUUGUUGGUGGGGUAGUGGCUUACCAAGGCUUUGACGGGUAGCCGGCCUGAGAGGGUGACCGGCCACAUUGGGACUGAGAUACGGCCCAGACUCCUACGGGAGGCAGCAGUGGGGAAUAUUGCACAAUGGGCGGAAGCCUGAUGCAGCAACGCCGCGUGCGGGAUGACGGCCUUCGGGUUGUAAACCGCUUUCGCCUGUGACGAAGCGUGAGUGACGGUAAUGGGUAAAGAAGCACCGGCUAACUACGUG